UACGUAGGGCGCAAGCGUUGUCCGGAAUUAUUGGGCGUAAAGCGCUCGCAGGUGGUCCGAUGCGUCGUGCGUGAAAGACCCCGGCUCAACUGGGGAGGGUCGUGCGAUACGGUCGGACUGGAGGCCAGUAGGGGGAUGCGGAAUUCCGGGUGUAGUGGUGGAAUGCGUAGAGAUCCGGAGGAACACCAGCGGCGAAGGCGGGUUGCUGGGCCGACACUGACGCUGAUGCGCGAAAGCCAGGGGAGCGAACGGG
rnacentral:rRNA from 1 species